GGGAGAGCGAGCGAGCUCAGGCACCAGGUGGCCCAGAGCUAAUCCCGUAAAUGCCCGAACAGCUGCCCAGCGCCAUUUAAAGAGACAGGGCUUCGCCGCUGCGCCGCGCGACAACGGGCCCUGACCUCAGCGAGGGCCUCCUGCAACUGCCUAGGCCGGCUUCUAACAAAAUAAUAGGAGCCUCCUCCUUCAGCUCUGCCCGGAGGGAAGAUGGCCCUCGUGCAGCCAGAGUCCUUUCCUUUCCUGUGAGGAAUCCUAGCUGGGGCUGGCACCCACGUACUUAAUGGUAAAGAAAAAACAGGAAACGACACGGGUCAUUAUGGGGGGAAGACGAGUCCACUUCUAACCAGGCAAGCAGGAUGCCGCAGAACCAGGGACCUUAAAGACUUAAAAUGCUAAAAUAGGUUGGCCAGAUGUCCCGAUUUUAUAGGCACAGUCCCAAUUUUUGGGUCUUUUUC
rnacentral:lncRNA from 1 species